rnacentral:rRNA from 1 species
UAGGGAAUCUUCCGCAAUGGACGAAAGUCUGACGGAGCAACGCCGCGUGAGUGAAGAAGGAUUUCGGUUCGUAAAACUCUGUUGUUAGGGAAGAAAAAAUGUAUAGUAACUAUAUACAAAAGAGACGGUACCUAACCAGAAAGCCACGGCUAACUACGUGCCAGCAGCCGCGGUAAUACGUAGGUGGCAAGCGUUGUCCGGAAUUAUUGGGCGUAAAGCGCGCGCAGGUGGUUUAGAAAGUCUGAUGUGAAAGCCCACGGCUCAACCGUGGAGGGUCAUUGGAAACUAAUAAACUUGAGUGAAGGAGAGAAAAGUGGAAUUCCUGGUGUAGCGGUGAAAUGCGUAGAGAUUAGGAGGAACACCGGUGGCGAAGGCGGCUCUCUGGUCUGUAACUGACGCUGAGGCUCGAAAGCGUGGGGAGCGAACAGG